rnacentral:rRNA from 2 species
UGGGGAAUAUUGCACAAUGGGGGAAACCCUGAUGCAGCGACGCCGCGUGAGUGAAGAAGUAAUUCGUUAUGUAAAGCUCUAUCAGCAGGGAAGAAAAUGACGGUACCUGAGUAAGAAGCCCCGGCUAACUACGUGCCAGCAGCCGCGGUAAUACGUAGGGGGCAAGCGUUAUCCGGAUUUACUGGGUGUAAAGGGAGCGUAGACGGCAGUGCAAGUCUGGAGUGAAAGGCGGGGGCUCAACCCCCGGACUGCUCUGGAAACUGUACGGCUGGAGUGCAGGAGAGGUAAGUGGAAUUCCUAGUGUAGCGGUGAAAUGCGUAGAUAUUAGGAGGAACACCAGUGGCGAAGGCGGCUUACUGGACUGUAACUGACGUUGAGGCUCGAAAGCGUGGGGAGCAAACAGG